AGAAUCAACGCUGGCGGCGUGCCUAACACAUGCAAGUCGAACGAGAAAGGGUAGCAAUACCUGAGUAAAGUGGCGCACGGGUGAGUAACACGUGACUAACCUACCCUGGAGUGGGGGAUAACUGAGGGAAACCUUAGCUAAUACCGCAUAAUACCUACGGGUCAAAGGAGCAAUUCGCUUCAGGAGGGGGUCGCGGCCGAUUAGUUAGUUGGCGGGGUAAUGGCCCACCAAGACGAUGAUCGGUAUCCGGCCUGAGAGGGCGCACGGACACACUGGAACUGAAACACGGUCCAGACUCCUACGGGAGGCAGCAGUGGGGAAUUUUGCGCAAUGGGGGAAACCCUGACGCAGCAACGCCGCGUGGAGGAUGAAGUCCUUCGGGACGUAAACUCCUUUCGAUCGGGACGAUUAUGACGGUACCGGAAGAAGAAGCCCGGCUAACUUCGUGCCAGCAGCCGC
rnacentral:rRNA from 1 species